GCAUCAAAAAAUAAAAUAAAUUGCCUGUCAUCACCGAAACAACCUAGAGGAGGAGUAUGAUUCUUCAAUCUCGACCGCGACGGUGAUGGAUUACUCCGGCGGGGCCAGCGGGGAUGGGGCGUAGUGAAGCUAUCAGAGAUGUAUUGCAGCGCACGGAGGCUGCUGCUCUCAGCCCACGUUGAGCGGCUCGCCUCGGUGCCGCUAGCUCGUCGGCGCAGCAGGCCCGGUGGCAGUUGACGGGUGUGGAGGGAGGUGGGGUAGAUCCUGUGUGUGUGUGCUGAUGGACAGGCUCUAGCGCUCAAUCCCUGCCAAGGGCCAGCGUGAUCUCUGGAAGAGGUUUGGUCCGGGCAUGGUUGGUGAUUCCCAGGGUUGCCGGUCUUGAUCUGUGUUGUCCAAUGCUUUUUUUUAUUACACUUGAAGGCGCCUGUGAUUGGGGUGCAAGCCAGACCUGAGGGACGACCAACAGAACAUGCUUGAGAAGACGAUGGCACCCAUCAUGCAGUCGUUCCAUGGGAUCGUGACCUGCAUUGAGAUUUCAGUGUUCUGGGCUUCGCCAGACCGAGAUCAAAAAGACCCCCAUUGUAUCAAUUUACAUUGGUAACACUUUAUUAUGUCAAAUCGUUGAUUGUUCACAAUAACACUGGAAUGCUUAAAAUAUUCGCGUAGUUGCUCGGCCCUCAUGUAAUAUUCCAACAGUGCAUUUUUUGUAAUUUUGAUUGUUCGUAAGAGUUCUAGAUACUAUGCUCGAGUAGAGUAGGUUUACUAUAACAGAUUGUUUAGGAAUCACAAGUGCAGAAGGUCUUCUACCAUCCGCGCGCGGUGUGAGGGUGAAGCAAAUAUUCAUUCUAUGUGACCACGACAGGGAUGGUAUGUAUUCUUUUUGUACUUGAGACUCUUAGAUUUCCAGUGGAGUUUUGGUUUCUCCUGCUGAGAUCGUACACUUGAUGUUUAUACUGUGCAUUCAAGCUAUUUCCACACCUAAGGUCUGUUAGUGUGGAAUCUUAUUUUCCUGUAGUGUGAUUACUAUAUGCACUUAUUUGCAUGUUUUCUCACUUUUAUUUGUAUAAUCGGCCUUCUACAGAAACAGGGCAACAAGAUUCAGGUAUAUGAUUUGAGGUUUGUAGUGGAGAAGAGCUGUGAGAACCUUCAGUUGCUUUGUUUUAUUGCAACACAUGGACAAUUAUCUUUUCUUUUUGGCGAUCACAGGGAGACAAAUAUUGUGGCAAUCAAGUCGGGGGUUCAUGGCAAGGUAUUGACAAUUUUUUAUCAAAAGCAGUUUGCUACACACUGAAGUGUGACAGAAAAUCCGUUUUGAAAAAAGUGUGACAGAAAAGGUGUGCUACUGUUUCCACAUCUCCUUUUGCGAAUCACUAAUGUUUUUCCCAUGUCUUUUCUUCCUUUUUGUAUUGACCCAGAAAUAGUUUCGGCAUUGGAGUCAGUUUCUUUGAUGUUUUCAU